rnacentral:rRNA from 1 species
ACGGGAGGCAGCAGUGAGGAAUAUUGGACAAUGGUCGGAAGACUGAUCCAGCCAUGCCGCGUGAAGGCAGACGGUCCUAUGGAUUGUAAACUUCUUUUGUACGGGAGCAAUAAGGUUCACGAGUGGACCGAUGAGAGUACCGUACGAAUAAGCAUCGGCUAACUCCGUGCCAGCAGCCGCGGUAAUACGGAAGGUCCGGGCGUUAUCCGGAUUUAUUGGGUUUAAAGGGAGCGUAGGCCGUGCUUUAAGCGUGUUGUGAAAUGUAGGCGCCCAACGUCUGCACUGCAGCGCGAACUGGAGCACUUGAGUACGCAGGAAGUAGGCGGAAUUCGUCGUGUAGCGGUGAAAUGCUUAGAUAUGACGAAGAACUCCGAUUGGGAAGCCAGCUUACUGUAGCGCCACUGACGCUGAUGCUCGAAAGCGUGGGUAUCGAACAGGAUUAGAUACCCUGGUA